CCUACGGGAGGCAGCAGUGGGGAAUUUUGGACAAUGGGCGAAAGCCUGAUCCAGCCAUGCCGCGUGAGUGAAGAAGGCCUUCGGGUUGUAAAGCUCUUUCAGACGGAAAGAAAUCGCAUCUUCUAAUACAGGGUGUGGAUGACGGUACCGUAAGAAGAAGCACCGGCUAACUACGUGCCAGCAGCCGCGGUAAUACGUACGGUGCAAGCGUUAAUCGGAAUUACUGGGCGUAGAGCGUGCGCAGGCGGUCUUGUAAGACAGGCGUGAAAUCCCCGGGCUCAACCUGGGAAUUGCGCUUGUGACUGCAAGGCUGGAGUGCGGCAGAGGGGGAUGGAAUUCCGCGUGUAGCAGUGAAAUGCGUAGAUAUGCGGAGGAACACCGAUGGCGAAGGCAAUCCCCUGGGCCUGCACUGACGCUCAUGCACGAAAGCGUGGGGAGCAAACAGGAUUAGAUACCCUAGUAGUCCACGCCCUAAACGAUGUCAACUGGUUGUUGGGUAUUUACUUACUCAGAAACGAAGCUAACGCGUGAAGUUGACCGCCUGGGGAGUACGGCCGCAAGGUUGAAACUCAAAUGAAUUGACGG
rnacentral:rRNA from 1 species